rnacentral:rRNA from 1 species
UGUGACCUCAAAUCAGGUAGGAUUACCCGCUGAACUUAAGCAUAUCAAUAAGCGGAGGAAAAGAAACUAACAAGGAUUCCCCUAGUAACUGCGAGUGAAGCGGGAAAAGCUCAAAUUUAAAAUCUGGCAGCCUUUGGUUGUCCGAGUUGUAAUCUAGAGAAGUGCUAUCCGCGCUGGACCGUGUACAAGUCUCCUGGAAUGGAGCGUCAUAGAGGGUGAGAAUCCCGUCUUUGACACGGACUGCCAGGGCUUUGUGAUGUGCUCUCGAAGAGUCGAGUUGUUUGGGAAUGCAGCUCAAAAUGGGUGGUAAAUUCCAUCUAAAGCUAAAUAUUGGCGAGAGACCGAUAGCGAACAAGUACCGUGAGGGAAAGAUGAAAAGAACUUUGGAAAGAGAGUUAAACAGUACGUGAAAUUGCUGAAAGGGAAACGCUUGAAGUCAGUCGCGUUGUCCAGGGAUCAACCUUGCUUUUGCUUGGUGCACUUUCUGGUUGACGGGUCAGCAUCAAUUUUGACCAUUGGAAAAAGAUUAGGGGAAUGUGACAUCUUAGGAUGUGUUAUAGCCCUUGGUUGCAUACAAUGGU